rnacentral:rRNA from 1 species
UACGUAGGGUGCGAGCGUUAAUCGGAAUUACUGGGCGUAAAGCGUGCGCAGGCGGUUCGUUGUGUCUGAUGUGAAAGCCCCGGGCUCAACCUGGGAAUGGCAUUGGAAACUGGCUUGCUAGAGUGUGGCAGAGGGGGGUGGAAUUCCGCGUGUAGCAGUGAAAUGCGUAGAGAUGCGGAGGAACACCGAUGGCGAAGGCAGCCCCCUGGGCUGACACUGACGCUCAGGCACGAAAGCGUGGGGAGCAAACAGG